GGAGCAGUUGGUGGCUCAGUGGUAGAGUGCAUGAUUGUGUGUAUGACGUCCUGUGUUCAAAUCCCAGCUGCUCCC
rnacentral:tRNA from 1 species